rnacentral:rRNA from 1 species
AAAGAAACCAACAGGGAUUACCUCAGUAACGGCGAGUGAAGCGGUAACAGCUCAAAUUUGAAAUCUGGGUCUUUUAGGGUCCGAGUUGUAAUUUGUAGAAGAUGCUUUGGGUGUGGCUCCGGUCUAAGUUCCUUGGAACAGGACGUCAUAGAGGGUGAGAAUCCCGUAUGUGACUGGCUGCCUUCGCCCGUGUAAAGCUCUUUCGACGAGUCGAGUUGUUUGGGAAUGCAGCUCUAAAUGGGUGGUAUAUUUCAUCUAAAGCUAAAUAUUGGCCAGAGACCGAUAGCGCACAAGUAGAGUGAUCGAAAGAUGAAAAGCACUUUGGAAAGAGAGUUAAACAGUACGUGAAAUUGUUGAAAGGGAAGCGCUUGCAACCAGACUUGCAUGCCGUCGAUCAUCCUGGGUUCUCCCUGGUGCACUCGGCGGCGUUCAGGCCAGCAUCGGUUUUGGUGGUUGGAUAAAGGCCUUGGGAAUGUGGCUCCUUUCGGGGAGUGUUAUAGCCCUCGGUGCAAUGCAGCCUACCGGGACCGAGGACCGCGCUUCGGCUAGGAUGCUGGCGUAAUGGUUGUAAGCGACCCGUCUUGAAACACGGACCAAGGAGUCUAACAUCUAUGCGAGUGUUUGGGUGUUAAACCCAUACGCGUAAUUAACGUGAACGGAGGUACGAACCCUUUAGGGUGCAGUAUCGACCGGUCCUGAUGUCUUCGGAUGGAUCUGAGUAAGAGCAUAGCUGUUGGGACCCGAAAGAUGGUGAACUAUGCCUAAAUAGGGUGAAGCCAGAGGAAACUCUGGUGGAGGCUCGCAGCGGUUCUGACGUGCAAAUCGAUCGUCAAAUUUGGGUAUAGGGGCGAAAGACUAAUCGAACCAUCAC